rnacentral:rRNA from 1 species
CAAUAGCGUAUAUUAAAGUUGUUGCGGUUAAAAGCUCGUAGUUGGAUUUCUGCCGAGGACGACCGGUCCGCCCUCUGGGUGAGCAUCUGGAUCGGCCUGGGCAUCCUCUUGGGGAACGUAGCUGCACUUGACUGUGUGGUGCGGUAUCCAGGACUUUUACUUUGAGGAAAUUAGAGUGUUUCAAGCAGGCUUCCGCCUUGAAUACAUUAGCAUGGAAUAAUAAGAUAGGACCUCGGUUCUAUUUUGUUGGUUUCUAGAGCUGAGGUAAUGAUUGAUAGGGAUAGUUGGGGGUGGCUAGUAUUCGGCGGCCAGAGGUGAAAUUACUUUGAUCCGCUGAAGACUAACUUAUGCGAAAGACAUUCACCAAGGAUGUCUUCUUUAAUCAAGAACGAAAGUU